rnacentral:misc_RNA from 1 species
AAGUCGUAACAAGGUUUCCGUAGGUGAACCUGCGGAAGGAUCAUUAGUGAAUUGAGCUGGCUUCGGCCGCUCUGAUCUAUACACACCUGUGAACUGUUGGCCUUCGGGUCUUUAAAUACAACUGUGACGAACGUAAAUUAUUAUAACAAAUAAAACUUUUAACAACGGAUCUCUUGGCUCUC